CAGAGUUGCAAAACUCCCUAAACACUUGUGAACCUACCAGUAUCGUUGCUUCGGUGGGCGGCCCCAGGGCGGGGCCGUAGCCUUUACAGGCGCCCGCCGGAGGUUACAAACUCUAUAUUUUUAAUUGUCUCUCUGAGUAAACUUAUAAAUAAGUCA
rnacentral:misc_RNA from 1 species